GUCCCUUACGGACAUCUAAUAAAAUUGGAACGAUACAGAGAAGAUUAACAUAACCCCUAGUCAAGGAUGAAACACACAAAUCAAGAAAUGGUCAAAAAAAUU
rfam:Solanum tuberosum cultivar DM 1-3 516 R44 scf00051_57, whole genome shotgun sequence.